UACGUAGGUGGCGAGCGUUGUCCGGAUUUACUGGGCGUAAAGAGCGCGCAGGCGGUCGUUCAAGGCGCGUGUGAAAGCCCCCGGCUCAACUGGGGAGGGUCACGCGAUACUGAUCGACUCGAAGGCAGGAGAGGGAAGUGGAAUUCCCGGUGUAGUGGUGAAAUGCGUAGAUAUCGGGAGGAACACCAGUGGCGAAGGCGGCUCACUGGCCCGAUACUGACGCUGAGGCACGAAAGCGUGGGUAGCAAACAGG
rnacentral:rRNA from 1 species